CUUGUUUUCACAUUCAGCUUGCAUACAUCGACUCCCAAUUCCUUUUUUACAAGAUUUCUAUCCCGACUUUUUUGUCUGGUCUCCUCUUAACUAACUGGCCACUGCUCUUUUCGAUCCAAAUACAAAGUGUUUGAGCUAUAGAGAUUCCCCAAGCCCGCAACUGCAAGAAUCAGCAAAGCACCGAUCAUACAUGUAUUAACUUAGCUGCUAAAACACAAGCCAAGAAUGCUGAGCCAGGAAAAGGUGGUGUGAGCCAGGAAAAGGUGGUGUGGUAUGCUAAAACUGCAUUACCAUUGCCAGCAGCGAUGUUGGCUUCCGCCACCACCACAAGCGCGAUGAGGAGGAGGCUGACUGCCAAUGUCGAGGGUGAGGACCUCGACGACGAAGGUGGGCUACAGGUUGACGAUGUCCUCGGUGCGGAGGCUAGAGCUAGGUGUCGUGUCGUAGUUGUGCAGCGCCUCCACAAGCUCCGCCGGCUUCAACAGCAGGAAGGGAGAAGGAGCUUGCUAUCCCCUCCGUAGCUCCGCCGGCUUCAACAGCAGGAAGGAGACGGAGCUUGCCAUCCCCUCCGUCGUGGGCACCACUGGCGAACAUAAUCAAAUGGGUUUCUGCGCCUUUGCAGGCAGGC
rnacentral:lncRNA from 1 species